UUUAUAGUGUAUCUUCUCUUUCGCAACAGCCUGCAAGAGCGUUCACUGGGCUAAUCUUAAUCUUCACUUUGCUCUUCAAAAUGAAUGUUUCUGCUGUGAGGCUACUUCACAGGAAGCGUGACCUCAUUCUGCUCCGUGCCGCUGAUUGCACGGGCUGUUUUCAAAAGGCAACAGGGGACUUCACGGACCUGCCUUCCCCAAGCCCCAGGGCUAAUCUCUGCCAGGAAGCCGCAGAAGGAGCACCCUCCACCUCACUCUGAGGCUCCCGUGUUGAUGAUGAGCAACUUUUUUGCACACGUGUGUUAAUAGUGGGAUGGAUUUUCCAGGUUUGGAAUAUUUUUCCAUGUGCUUAUCUCUUAAUAUAUUUGUCAGCUGAGGAAUAACUAAGCUUUGGAUUCAUUUCUAUCCUGUUCUUCAGGAAGUUUUGUAUUUUGUGAGUGUUGUGAUCUUUACCUGCAGGGAGAAGAGACUGGACUGCUCUUCAAAAAUGACUGAUACGUGUGAACAAAUAAAUCUAUCUUUGUAGACACUUGUGUUUGAUAAUCUAUACUGCCUGUUACCCCAAGGUGUAUGAAACAAUACUUUUCAAGAUGUAUGGAAUAUCACAGAUGGCAUCGACACCAGGAGCAACUUCUUUUAUGAUCUUUUUGAUAUGCACAAGGUACCUGUCAGUAAGGACCUGUCAACUGUUUGAGCUGUCAGUGGGUAUGACAACGACUCCUUAUGUGGCCUUUGCCUCUGCAGGUUCAUCAGCAUUUAAUGGAGAACAAAAGCGCAGCCUCUCACGACGGAUUUUUCCAAGGUACUGACAAAAAUUAUACUUGUUUCAUUUUAUUUUUAUUGUGUUGGAGAUUUUGUAAAAUCCCUUUUGGGCCACUUAGAAUUGUAGUGCUGAUAUUAAUUUAAUUACUGCUUUAAAUGGAAG
rnacentral:lncRNA from 1 species